rnacentral:rRNA from 1 species
UACGAAGGUGGCAAGCGUUGUUCGGAUUUACUGGGCGUACAGGGAGCGUAGGCGGUUGGAUAAGCCCUCCGUGAAAUCUCCAGGCUUAACCUGGAAAGUGCAGAGGGGACUGUUCAGCUAGAGGAUGGGAGAGGAGCGCGGAAUUCCCGGUGUAGCGGUGAAAUGCGUAGAGAUCGGGAGGAAGGCCGGUGGCGAAGGCGGCCUUCUGGACAGUGACUGACGCUGAGACGCGAAAGCGUGGGGAGCAAACAGG